UGCAAGUCGAGCGGAAAGGCCACUUCGGUGGUACUCGAGCGGCGAACGGGUGAGUAACACGUGAGUAAUCUGCCUCUGGCUUCGGGAUAGCCACCGGAAACGGUGAUUAAUACCGGAUAUGACAUCUUCACGCAUGUGAUGGGUGUGGAAAGUUUUUUCGGCCAGGGAUGUGCUCGCGGCCUAUCAGCUUGUUGGUGGGGUAAUGGCCUACCAAGGCUUCGACGGGUAGCCGGCCUGAGAGGGUGACCGGCCACACUGGGACUGAGACACGGCCCAGACUCCUACGGGAGGCAGCAGUGGGGAAUAUUGGACAAUGGGCGGAAGCCUGAUCCAGCAACGCCGCGUGAGGGAUGACGGCCUUCGGGUUGUAAACCUCUUUCAGCACAGACGAAGCGCAAGUGACGGUAUGUGCAGAAGAAGGACCGGCCAACUACGUGCCAGCAGCCGCGGUAAUACGUAGGGUCCGAGCGUUGUCCGGAAUUAUUGGGCGUAAAGGGCUCGUAGGCGGUUUGUCGCGUCGGGAGUGAAAACACCGGGCUUAACUCGGUGCUUGCUUUCGAUACGGGCAGACUAGAGGCAUUCAGGGGAGAACGGAAUUCCUGGUGUAGCGGUGAAAUGCGCAGAUAUCAGGAGGAACACCGGUGGCGAAGGCGGUUCUCUGGGAAUGUCCUGACGCUGAGGAGCGAAAGUGUGGGGAGCGAACAGGAUUAGAUACCCUGGUAGUCCACACCGUAAACGUUGGGCGCUAGGUGUGGGAUCCA
rnacentral:rRNA from 1 species